GAUGAACGCUGGAGGUAUGCCUUACACAUGCAAGUCGUACGGAAAUUAGCUUCGGUUAAUUUUAGUGGCGGACGGGUGAGUAACACGUGAGAAUUUGCCUUUAGGAGGGGGAUAACGAAUGGAAACAUUCGCUAAAACCCCCAUAUGCCCCAGGGUGAAAAAGAGGAAAAUAGUUAUACUGAAUUACCUCUGCCUGAAGAGAAGCUCGCGGCUGAUUAGCUAGUUGGUAGGGUAAAGGCCUACCAAGGCGACGAUCAGUAGCUGGUCUGAGAGGACGAUCAGCCACACUGGAACUGAGACACGGUCCAGACUCCUACGGGAGGCAGCAGUGAGGAAUUUUCUGCAAUGGGCGAAAGCCUGACAGAGCAAUACCGCGUGAGGGACGAAGACUUACUGAGUUGUAAACCUCGGUGCCUUAAGGAAGAAGAUCUGACGGUACUUAAGGUGGAAAGCAUCGGCUAACUCCGUGCCAGCAGCCGCGGUAAAGUAGACGUCU
rnacentral:rRNA from 1 species